UUUAUGGAGAGUUUGAUCCUGGCUCAGGAUGAACGCUGGCGGCGUGCCUAAUACAUGCAAGUCGAGCGAACGGACGAGAAGCUUGCUUCUCUGAUGUUAGCGGCGGACGGGUGAGUAACACGUGUAUAACCUACCUAUAAGACUGGGAUAACUUCGGGAAACCGGAGCUAAUACCGGAUAAUAUUUUGAACCGCAUGGUUCAAAAGUGAAAGACGGUCUUGCUGUCACUUAUAGAUGGAUCCGCGCUGCAUUAGCUAGUUGGUAAGGUAACGGCUUACCAAGGCAACGAUGCAUAGCCGACCUGAGAGGGUGAUCGGCCACACUGGAACUGAGACACGGUCCAGACUCCUACGGGAGGCAGCAGUAGGGAAUCUUCCGCAAUGGGCGAAAGCCUGACGGAGCAACGCCGCGUGAGUGAUGAAGGUCUUCGGAUCGUAAAACUCUGUUAUUAGGGAAGAAUAUAUGUGUAAGUAACUGUGCACAUCUUGACGGUACCUAAUCAGAAAGCCACGGCUAACUACGUGCCAGCAGCCGCGGUAAUACGUAGGUGGCAAGCGUUAUCCGGAAUUAUUGGGCGUAAAGCGCGCGUAGGCGGUUUUUUAAGUCUGAUGUGAAAGCCCACGGCUCAACCGUGGAGGGUCAUUGGAAACUGGAAAACUUGAGUGCAGAAGAGGAAAGUGGAAUUCCAUGUGUAGCGGUGAAAUGCGCAGAGAUAUGGAGGAACACCAGUGGCGAAGGCGACUUUCUGGUCUGUAACUGACGCUGAUGUGCGAAAGCGUGGGGAUCAAACAGGAUUAGAUACCCUGGUAGUCCACGCCGUAAACGAUGAGUGCUAAGUGUUAGGGGUUUCCGCCCUUAGUGCUGCAGCUAACGCAUUAAGCACUCCGCCUGGGGAGUACGACCGCAAGGUUGAAACUCAAAGGAAUUGACGGGGACCCGCACAAGCGGUGGAGCAUGUGGUUUAAUUCGAAGCAACGCGAAGAACCUUACCAAAUCUUGACAUCCUUUGACAACUCUAGAGAUAGAGCCUUCCCUUCGGGGACAAAGUGACAGGUGGUGCAUGGUUGUCGUCAGCUCGUGUCGUGAGAUGUUGGGUUAAGUCCGCAACGAGCGCAACCCUUAAGCUUAGUUGCCAUCAUUAAGUUGGGCACUCUAAGUUGACUGCCGGUGACAAACCGGAGGAAGGUGGGGAUGACGUCAAAUCAUCAUGCCCUUAUGAUUUGGGCUACACACGUGCUACAAUGGACAAUACAAAGGGCAGCGAAACCGCGAGGUCAAGCAAAUCCAUAAAGUUGUUCUCAGUUCGGAUUGUAGUCUGCAACUCGACUACAUGAAGCUGGAAUCGCUAGUAAUCGUAGAUCAGCAUGCUACGGUGAAUACGUUCCCGGGUCUUGUACACACCGCCCGUCACACCACGAGAGUUUGUAACACCCGAAGCCGGUGGAGUAACCUUUUAGGAGCUAGCCGUCGAAGGUGGGACAAAUGAUUGGGGUGAAGUCGUAACAAGGUAGCCGUAUCGGAAGGUGCGGCUGGAUCACCUCCUUUCU
rnacentral:rRNA from 1 species